rnacentral:rRNA from 1 species
CCUACGGGCGGCAGCAGUGAGGAAUAUUGGUCAAUGGCCGCAGGUCUGAACCAGCCAAGUCGCGUGAGGGAUGACGGUCCUAUGGAUUGUAAACCUCUUUUGUCAGGGAGCAAAGGGCGCCACGUGUGGCUCUUUGCGAGUACCUUACGAAAAAGCAUCGGCUAACUCCGUGCCAGCAGCCGCGGUAAUACGGAGGAUGCGAGCGUUAUCCGGAUUUAUUGGGUUUAAAGGGUGCGCAGGCGGAAUGUCAAGUCAGCGGUAAAAUUUCGGGGCUCAACCCCGUCGUGCCGUUGAAACUGGCGGUCUGGAGUGAGCGAGAAGUAUGCGGAAUGCGUGGUGUAGCGGUGAAAUGCAUAGAUAUCACGCAGAACUCCGAUUGCGAAGGCAGCAUACCGGCGCGCAACUGACGCUCAUGCACGAAAGCGUGGGUAUCGAACAGGAUUAGAUACCCCUGUAGUC